CUGCUGCCUUCCGUAGGAGUCUGGGCCGUGUCUCAGUCCCAAUGUGGCCGUUCAACCUCUCAGUCCGGCUACUGAUCGUCGCUUUGGUGGGCCGUUACCCCGCCAACUGGCUAAUCAGACGCGAGCUCAUCUUUGGACGAUAAAUCUUUGGCAGCAAAAUCAUGCGGUCCUGCUGCAUUAUGCGGUAUUAGCAGUCGUUUCCGGCUGUUAUCCCCCAUCCAAAGGCAGAUUGCUCACGUCG
rnacentral:rRNA from 1 species